rnacentral:lncRNA from 1 species
AUUUUAGAUACAUGAUAUGAUGAUAAGAUGUUUCAUGUUUAGAUACAUGUAGUAUAUGAUGAUAAGAUGUUUAAUGUUUAGAUACAUGAUGAUAAGAUGUUUAAUGUUUAGAUACAUGUAGUAUAUGAUAAGAUGUUUCAUGUUUAGAUACAUGAUGAUAAGAUGUUUCAUGUUUAGAUACAUGUAGUAUAUGAUGAUAA